AUUUUGGAUUUUUUAAAAUCCAUAAUCAAAAUAAAAACAAAAUAGU
rfam:Callithrix jacchus chromosome 17, whole genome shotgun sequence